UACGUAGGGCGCAAGCGUUGUCCGGAAUUAUUGGGCGUAAAGAGCGUGUAGGCGGCCAAGCAGGUCCGUUGUGAAAACUGGAGGCUUAACCUCCAGACGUCGACGGAAACCGCGCGGCUAGAGUCCGGAAGAGGAGAGUGGAAUUCCUGGUGUAGCGGUGAAAUGCGCAGAUAUCAGGAAGAACACCAAUGGCGAAGGCAGCUCUCUGGGACGGUACUGACGCUGAGACGCGAAAGCGUGGGGAGCGAACAGG
rnacentral:rRNA from 1 species